UGAUGCAGAUACGGGUGCCUAGUCUUGCUCUGCCUUGCGGCUCAGGCAUGCACAGCAGCCCGAGCCGGGGACUAUGGCUGAGAUAAUACCGUUCUGCCGCGCGCCCUCGGGCCCGGCUAGUACCUGAUCGAGGUCAUGCUCGCGAAGGGAAUCUGUGUUGCACCAAU
rnacentral:ncRNA from 1 species